rnacentral:lncRNA from 1 species
UUUUUAUGUUAUUUAUAAACUCAUUUCUAUUAUUAUAAAAAGUAGAUAAGAGUUCAGGUCUCUUAGGGAGCCAAUUAAAUGGCAUUCCUGUAAGUAGUCCUGGGCUCUGAGUAAGCUGAGAAACAAAAUUAACAGAGGUGGCUCUAGUAUCACUUUCAGUAUUGAUUAUGGCCCAAUGGGAGGGUGUGGCUUGUGUCAGAGUCAUUGGCCCUGUGAACUAAACCCCAAGAUUAGGUAGAUGUACGCACUGGACCAGGGCAGCAACUCCCCUCACACUACCAGAAGGACCUCAGAACCUGGAGGUAGGAGGAUUGAGAUAAACAUGCCAACUUAUUCUUGUUUGCCAGUCACUCUGCUCCCAAGAGACUGGGUGAAGGAAGACUUAGAUAGAGGACGGACAGAGGUUUGUGACGGAUGCUACAGCAUAAAAUUAUGUGCCUUCGUCCUGAGAUAG